GUGGUCCGGCGCAGCAGUGAGGAAUAUUGGUCAAUGGGCGGGAGCCUGAACCAGCCAAGUCGCGUGAGGGAAGACGGUCCUAUGGAUUGUAAACCUCUUUAGGCGGGGAGCAAUGCCGGGCACGCGUGUCCGGAGGGAGAGUACCCGCAGAAUAAGCAUCGGCUAACUCCGUGCCAGCAGCCGCGGUAAUACGGAGGAUGCGAGCGUUAUCCGGAUUUAUUGGGUUUAAAGGGUGCGUAGGCGGAUUUUUAAGUCAGCGGUAAAAUGUCCGGGCUCAACCCGGGCCGGCCGUUGAAACUGGGGAG
rnacentral:rRNA from 1 species